GAUGAACGCUGGCGGCGUGCCUAAUACAUGCAAGUCGAGCGAACAGACGAGGAGCUUGCUCCUCUGACGUUAGCGGCGGACGGGUGAGUAACACGUGGAUAACCUACCUAUAAGACUGGGAUAACUUCGGGAAACCGGAGCUAAUACCGGAUAAUAUAUUGAACCGCAUGGUUCAAUAGUGAAAGACGGUUUUGCUGUCACUUAUAGAUGGAUCCGCGCCGCAUUAGCUAGUUGGUAAGGUAACGGCUUACCAAGGCAACGAUGCGUAGCCGACCUGAGAGGGUGAUCGGCCACACUGGAACUGAGACACGGUCCAGACUCCUACGGGAGGCAGCAGUAGGGGAUCUUCCGCAAUGGGCGAAAGCUUGACGGAACAACGCCGCGGGAGGGAUGAAGGUCUUCGGAGCGUAAAACUCUGUUAUUAGGGAAGAACAAAUGUGUAAGUAACUAUGCACGUCUUGACGGUACCUAAUCAGAAAGCCACGGCUAACUACGUG
rnacentral:rRNA from 1 species